rnacentral:rRNA from 1 species
GACGAACGCUGGCGGCGUGCUUAACACAUGCAAGUCGAACGGAAAGGCCCUGCUUGCAGGGUACUCGAGUGGCGAACGGGUGAGUAACACGUGGGUGUUCUGCCCUGCACUUCGGGAUAAGCCUGGGAAACUGGGUCUAAUACCGGAUAGGAGCCAUUCUUAGUGUGAUGGUUGGAAGGUUUUUUCGGUGUAGGAUGAGCUCGCGGCCUAUCAGGUUGUUGGUGGGGUAAUGGCCUACCAAGGCGGCGACGGGUAGCCGGCCUGAGAGGGUGGACGGCCACAUUGGGACUGAGAUACGGCCCAGACUCCUACGGGGGGCAGCAGUGGGGAAUAUUGCACAAUGGGCGCAAGCCUGAUGCAGCGACGCCGCGUGGGGGAUGACGGCCUUCGGGUUGUAAACUCCUUUCGCUAGGGACGAAGCUUUUUGUGACGGUACCUAGAGAAGAAGCACCGGCUAACUACGUG